rnacentral:rRNA from 1 species
AUUGAACGCUGGCGGCAGGCCUAACACAUGCAAGUCGAGCGAGUGGCGGACGGGUGAGUAAUGUCUGGGAAACUGCCUGAUGGAGGGGGAUAACUACUGGAAACGGUAGCUAAUACCGCAUACCAUCAGAUGUGCCCAGAUGGGAUUAGCUGGUUGGUGGGGUAAAGGCUUACCAAGGCGACGAUCCCUAGCUGGUCUGAGAGGAUGACCAGUCACACUGGAACUGAGACACGGUCCAGACUCCUACGGGAGGCAGCAGUGGGGAAUAUUGCACAAUGGGCGCAAGCCUGAUACAGCCAUGCCGCGUGUGUGAAGAAGGUCUUCGGGUUGUAAAGCACUUUCAGCGGGGAGGCGUUACCCGCAGAAGAAGCACCGGCUAACUCCGUGCCAGCCGCCGCGGUAAUUC